rnacentral:rRNA from 1 species
CAGUCGCCACGGGAAAACGGAGGGAGCUGGCGUUGUUCGGAAUUACUGGGCGUAAAGCGCGCGUAGGCGGUUACUCAAGUCAGAGGUGAAAGCCCGGGGCUCAACCCCGGAACUGCCUUUGAAACUAGGUGACUAGAAUCUUGGAGAGGUCAGUGGAAUUCCGAGUGUAGAGGUGAAAUUCGUAGAUAUUCGGACGAACACCAGUGGCGAAGGCGACAUACUGGAUCACUACUGACGCUGAGGCUCGAAAGCGUGGGGAGCAAACAGGAUUAGAUACCCCUGUAGUCCCUGUCUCUUAUAC